rnacentral:rRNA from 1 species
AAUAGAUACCCUGGUAGUCCACGCCGUAAACGAUGAGUGCUAGGUGUUGGGGGUUUCAACACCCUCAGUGCCGCAGCUAACGCAAUAAGCACUCCGGCCUGGGGAGUACGCUCGCAAGAGUGAAACUCGAAAGGAAUUGACGGGGGCCCGCACAAGCGGUGGAGCAUGUGGUUUAAUUCGAAGCAACGCGAAGAACCUUACCAGGUCUUGACAUCCCGCUGACCGCCCUGGAGACAGGGGCUUCCCUUCGGGGCAGCGGUGACAGGUGGUGCAUGGUUGUCGUCAGCUCGUGUCGUGAGAUGUUGGGUUAAGUCCCGCAACGAGCGCAACCCUUGUCUUUAGUUGCCAGCAUUCAGUUGGGCACUCUAGAGAGACUGCCGUGACAAGACGGAGGAAGGCGGGGAUGACGUCAAAUCAUCAUGCCCCUUAUGACCUGGGCUACACACGUGCUACAAUGGCUGGUACAACGGGACGCAAGCCCGCGAGGGUAAGCCAAUCUCUUAAAACCAGUCUCAGUUCGGAUUGCG